UGUGUGUGCACGCUAACGUUCGCGUCACGAGUCGGUAGGUGGUGGCUUCGGAGUGACCGUGUGGAGCCUGCGGCGGGGCCUGCUCAGUUAGCCUGUGAAGGACUCUGACCCGGAAUCACCCUCCAGGCGUCCCUUCCAUAAGCGCGUUCAAUCUCAUUACCGAAAUCGAACCAGGAGGCUUGUGAAUUAACGUCUUAGAAACUAUAUAUUUUUUGGUAAACUAGGAGGCACUGAAGAUCCGUGGCGGCCCCGAAAACUACGCGCUCCACCCUCCUCGCUUGGGUGAGGGUGUGGGACCCAGCAUGUCCCCUCCCGAGCGAGGCUCUGGGUCUAGCACUGCACGCAAUCGCAUGUGCCCUCCGCCGGAUGAAGGACUGGCCACCCCGGCCACCAGGACUAGCCUGCGUGAGCCUUUCCUGCUAGGGUGUCCUCAGGGUGCCCAAGGGCAAGGUCGGCGGUGCCACUGUGGGCUCCUUGACUCACAACCACAGACAUGUGGCAGCGACCCACCUGUGGUGUCUUCCUUAACCAUACCCCUGGGAGUGAGGUUUAGGGAGAGGGGACCAUACAGCCCUGUCUACCUCUGACAGAUGGGGCCACGGACGUUUGUAAUGAACGGACAAGCGCUGAAUGAGAGAAGUGGCCCACGGCGUCCGGCAGCAUGUGGUCUGUGGAGGGACCAACAUGUGUCGGUCUGCUACCUCCUAUCCGCUGAGCACUUUGCAGAAUCUGACAUCCUUCGCACGGAGGUGAGUCUCCCAUGUGAAAGAUGCCCUUCCAGAACCCAGAGAAAAGAACUCUCAUCAUCAAGUGAGGGCAGGGGGAGUGGAGGCUGAGAGGAACCAGCAAGCAGAUCUGAGAAAAAUAACUCCUCUUCCUCAGUCUCUCCAUGUAUUUGUUUCCACAACUGCCUCUCUUGGUUCAAUCUAGCAGAAAAGCAUUUCGAGGGGCGCCUGCAUGGCUCAGACGGUUGAGCGUCUGACUCUUGAUUUCGGCUCAGGUCAUGAUCUCGUGGUCCGUGAGUCCGGGCUCUGCACUGACAGUGCGGAGUCUGCUUGGGAUUCUGUCUGUUUCUGUCUCUCUCUGUCUCUCUCUCUCUCUCUCUCUCUCUCUCAAUAAAUAAACUAUUUAAAACAAAAAAGCA